UAGAGUUUUAUAACUCCCAACCCUUUGUGAACUUACCUUUGUUGCCUCGGCGGGACCUACCCGGUACCUGUCCCUUUUGGGACAGACUACCCUGUAGCCCGCCGGUGGAUAUUCAAAACUCGUUAUUUUUAAUGUUAUCUGAGCGUCUUAUUUUAAUAAGUCA
rnacentral:misc_RNA from 1 species